CGAAAAUCUCAGAAACCGAAAAUCUCGUAACACCGGCCUGGGACAUCAGACUCGAUAUCAUUACGUCAUCGCGAGUGGCGUCAUUACGUUAGGGCGUAAAAGAACCGAUGAACCGGUUUUUUGAACCGGUUCAUUGAAACGAAUUGUCCGAAAGAACCGGUUCGCGUCACUUCCCAUCACUAUUUAAACGUAUCUCAGUUGGAGCCUGCAAUCACAGGGAAACAGUGAUAAAGUAAUAAAGUUCUUGUCACUCCUCCUCUGCAACCAACAACGCACCUCCCUAUGCUCACUGCCUUCAUCAGCGCAGAGAAGCCUGAACCAGAAAACAGGAAUACGUCUCAGCAGAGCACAAGGCAAAGGAAAUUUCAAUCAAAAUCCAAUAAUCAGACAAAUGGAUUCCAGCCAGUCUUUCAAUCAGCCUCCAGAAGCCUGGAACUCAUCUGAGAAAUCAGCGAUGUUGCAUCCUUCAGCACCACCAACAGCAUACCAAGACAAUCCUGCUGGAUAUCCUCCCUCCUUUCCAAGCCAGCCAGUCCCCCAGGGCCCCUACACCCAGGGGCCGUAUCCAGGACAAACUGUGGUCGCUGUACAGCCUGCAGUUUUUGAGAUUGCUUCUCCACUGGCCAAUCCAUUGCCAGAUUACUUGGGCUACUCCAUCUUCACCAUGCUGUGCUGCUGUUUACCUCUGGGCAUUGCUGCCCUGGUUUUCUCCUGCUCCACUCGAAAUGCCAACUACUCAGGACAGCGAGAAUUAGCAGAAAAGAACUCCAAAACGACACUCAUCCUGAAUCAUGCCGCCCUUGGUAUUGGCCUUGUUCUCCUUGUACUGUUGAUUAUCGUCAAUGUUUUGGUUUUAAUUUGAAAAAGUUGUCAUGGAUGGAUGCAGACUACAAAGAGAUUUGAUUCUUUACAUUUUAAAUGCUAUUUGCUCAGUGUAUCAUUAAAGCCUGCAACAUGUGCUUUAAGGCUGAUUAUUGCAUGUUAAGACUUUUUGCUUAUCUUAUAUGCAGCUGUGCUAAUUUGAGUUUUUUACAUACAGUUUUAUUAUGUAUGUACAUAUAUGGGCAUAAAUCUGUCUGUCUGUGUAUGCAGGCAACUGUGUAUCUGACAGUUAAUACCUACAGUACCUGCCAAUUUAUAAAAAAUGAAUUUCGGGUAACACUUUAUAAUAACUUUAAUUAAUCAAUAACAAACAUUAUAUAAUCCUUAACAGAUCAUUAGUUAAUAUAUAUUCAUGUAGCUAGAAACAUGAGAUAAUGUGCUUGUUAAUGUUUACUAAAAUUAUUUAACAUUACCUAAUGAUCAACAGAUAAUUAAUGUAAAUUACAAUGCUUACAAACGUCAUUAAACGUUUAAUUCAUAUGAUCAUGCACAUCUUGAAAAUCUACAAAUUAUUUUAACAGAUGUUAUACAAUGAUUAAAAGCUUUUGUUAAUGUACAACACUUUUGCUGCUAUUGAGGUGUGAUAUGGGUAGGUUAGGGUUAGGGUUUGGUGGUAUGUGUAGGUUUAACUGUUGGAUGAGGGGUCAAAAGUGUAAAGGGGUCAGUUUGAUUACUAAAAGGGAGCAUGGUACAAUCUGUUUAUAUUACAUUUGUUUUGAGAAAUGAACAAGUAUUUUGAUUUGUUUUCUCCUGCUGAUGUAUGAUUCAAGGAAUACCCUGUUUAAUGAUAUAGUAUACUAUAAGUGUUGAGGCAAUAAAAACAUUUCCCAUCCAAAUUAUGUAUAUUAUGUCUUUAAGGAGCAUUUAUAUAAACUUAACUAACCACCCUGUACACAAACGUUGUUACAGCAGCUAGAAGUCCAAUGCCCAUAAAGGUAGCUACUGAAUGAUUAGUAAACGUUUCUAAACAUUUACCAAUGAUGAAUGGUUUCCACUUUAGAUUGGGUACUGCAAAAACGUGAAUAAAUGAUUAAUAAAUGACUUGUUAAGAUGUGAAAACAGUAGAAGUUUAAAUACAACCGAAGACCAAAUAUAUGACCUUUACAGACUGUGAUUAUGAGUUAAUUAAUAAUAUGUUAACAUGAAUACACUGAAAAAAUUAAUCUGGGUGGAUGUAAAUGUUACAUAAUUAGAUCUGUGAUAUUAACUAUAAAAUGUUAAGUUUCUGUCUUUACAUUCAUACAUCUAGUUUUGAAUUAAUCUGCAUUUGUUCAAAAUACAAGACAAUGUGCUUUUUUUCUUUACAAAAUGUAUCUAAGUAAUCCCAACCAA
ensembl:lncRNA